rnacentral:lncRNA from 1 species
GACGUCCCGAGCAGUGCUGGGAAGUAUAGGCUGUGUUGUCACGCCGGUGUCAGUCUGAUGAAGAUUGGCAUCAGGUUGAAACUGGAGUGGGACUCUGAGGCCGACCUCCAUGCCGCUCACCAGCAAAGGGACUGUGAACUGUGCGCUGGUUCUGGUCAACAGGAAGGAUUGCUGGCCCAGCUGGAAGUGAGGAGAGGACUGAGUGCCCUGAGGGCCAUCCUAGAGGCUGCCAGGAUCACCGAACAGUAAGAAACGUUCUCCAUCCUUCAACACGUGGUUAAACCCUCCAGGCUUUCCUGAAGACUCAGAUGGUAAAGAAUCCGACUGCAAUGCAGGACACCCAGGUUUAAUCCCUGGGUUG